UCCCCAGCAGGGUCUUCUCUUCCUUACCUUUCUGUUUUGGAGUCCUGAGCCUCCUUGGAAGAGUCACUCAGCCCCUCUGACCUGUUUCUGCCUCUGGGUGAGGCUAGAAUUAACUUUUUUCAGAUAUUAAGCCAUUGAAUCCUCCCAGCAUUGUGAGACAUGCACAGAGGGAAGACGGUGUGAAGACACACAGGGAGAAGUCCUUGUGAAGACGGAGGAUUGGUCUGAGACUUCUACAAGCCCAGAAAUGCCCAAGAGAGCUGGGAAACCACCAGAAGCUAGGAGGAGGCCGGGAAGGAUUCCCAGGCAGGUUUCAGAUGGAUGGAUCAUAACCUUGCCGACAAUUUGAUUUUGGAUUUCUAGCCUCUAGAACAGAGAAACAAUAAAUCUCUGUAGUU